GGUUGCGAUCAUACCAGCACUAAUGCACCGGAUCCCAUCAGAACUCCGCAGUUAAGCGUGCUUGGGCGAGAGUAGUACUAGGAUGGGUGACCCCCUGGUAUGUCCUCGUGUUGCAACCC
rnacentral:rRNA from 1 species